ACACGAGCAUAAGAUUUAAUGUGAGGCAUUGCCUGUAAGGAGGAUGGUUACAUAAUCUUUUAAUAUUGUUUGCAGCAUUUAACCAAAGAUUGAGCUUACCGUUGUUCGGAGUCUGCUGUCACUACGCCAUUUACUUCACGAGGAACACAAUUUCAAAAAUCCUGUGAACCAUGUUUGUUUGUUGUGGCCUUGAUGUGAGUAUGGUAAACAGCCUCCACCAAGUAACCCAUGAAUACUGGAUUUGACAUCUUGGAAGCACGGGUAAACCUGUUUGAGAAAAUGUUAUGAAACAAAAACUAAUCAACUGACAUUUGCAACUGAGGAUACGUACCACUUGGACAUUUUUCUGGCCGAGUUUGGUGACACCGGAAGCAGCAGCCAUGGAUACACCUAACUCGCCUGCAAGCCAGCUGCUGGGUGAUGGACCGAGCGAACCAAUCGAAGAACAUUGCAUGAUAAUGGAAUCAUUUGCCUCAGACGAAGCAUGCUGUUGCAAUAGCCAAGACAAGUAAAGAUGUCCCCAUUUCGGCACUUUUUCAUUGGCUUCUGAUUGAAUGGCAUGAGAUCCCGGCGAAGAUGGGAUAAAACAAACUCUGUGCACAAAACAUUUUGCGUCUGGCUGAAAAGUUUGAAAACAAGGCUUCAAAGCGGAAAGUGAAUAGGAUUCUAAAUAACGAACAAGAUCCCUUUUGAAACCAGUUAUAGAAUCACCAUCUCCGAUCUUCUCGUUGUCUUUUGAUGACAAAGGUGGACAAGACGGACUAAUCCAAAGGCCUGCACAAAUUUAUUGUUAAAAAAAAAACGAUAGUUUGCCAAUAGGGAUUGUAGUGGUACGCACCUUGUGUACGGUCUUCCCAAUCAGAUUCAAUAAGGUUACCCGUAUGAACAACGAUUCGCAAAUUUCCGUCUUCGUAGGACAUCAUGGACAUUUUCCUUCAGGUUUGACUCUGAUCGUGUGAAGCGUUGGCACUCGACUUUGAGCGGCAGCUAGCUCUUCGGAUUCAGUUCCGUAAAUCACAAGCAUUGGCUUCCUUCUGUUUAAUACAAACAAAAUUAUCGAAAC